GGGCUCGUGGGCCCGCGGCUGCGGUGGCUGUGUCCUCGCCGAGGCGGGAUGGAGUCCGGGGCGCAGGUGUCUGGGCUGAAGUCCACCGCAGAAGAUGAGGGUCCUUCUUCAGUGACGAGUCAGCUGUCCCCGAGAAAUGUCCCAAAGCAUAGCACCCCCCGGGACGCCACGCCCAGCCUGCACAGGAGGCCACCGGGCCGCGUCCCCUACCGCCCGGAAGGGAGCCCCGUGGCUGAGUCCCCGCUGCCUGAAAGCCUUUCCUGGAGCACCAUGGCCACCCUCCAGAACCUGCAGCUUUCUACCGUCUGGCCAGCACCCGCCUCCGACCCCUGGGAUCCCGAGGAAGAUCCUCCUACACCCGCCUCGGUCACUCGGAGGCAGCGGCAGGCAGAGUCCGGGGGAGCACGGAGCCGGUCUCCACACUUGAGGUUGCCCGGGGUCCCCAACACCUCGGGGAAGAGAAGGAGGGACCCAAAGGAGCUGGCGGCUGUGACAGAGCGUGUGAGGCAGUGGGAAGUCAGGCUGCUUCGGGACAUCGAGGAGGCCACUCAUCACGAGCUCACCAUCGAGGACGACUGCAUUUUGGGGCCGGGCCAGGAAGCACUGUGUUCUGGGGCUCCCGCGGCCAGCCCUCCAUCCACCGGCUUCAAACCUUGAUCCUCGGGGCUCCCCCGGGCCUCACCUUGACCACUUCCCUCUCCACUGUGAUGCUUGGGUUGGGUGGGGGGCAAGUUAAGGCUCCCGUAACUUCGAUUCCACACGAGGCCCUCAGAAGCACCAACGGAGAGCAGGGGAUGGAGGGAGCAGGUACCCCCGCCCCCGGGGGUUCCCCAGGGCCACCCAGGGACCAGGGAGCGUGGUGAGCUGCCCCCCCCCCCCAACACAGAGCUGGGGACAUACUCCCAGCAGGCUCAGGGUGCAUUCCGGGGAAGUCAGACACCGCGACUCACCGGGAGGUGGUUCUGGCAGUUCAGGCGCUGGUUUUAUGGGGGUGGUGAGAAUUUAACCCCCUAUGGUAGUGCGUUCCUGGGGCUGGGGUCCCACCAAACAGAUGGGGGGGGGUGCAGGCCCUCUGUCGAGAGGAGGGAGCGGGGCACUUGGGGCCCUUCAGCUAACACACAAAACCACCUGGACCUCCCAGUCCAGACCAUCUGGGGCACAGCUUUGCAGGAUGCUUCAUGGUUAUAAAAACAGAGCUCGAUCUUAUUCUUAUAAAUGUGUUCAUCCCCACUCUGUUUUAUUUUUUAAUAUUUAUUUUUGAGAGACAGGGAGAGGGAGACACAGAAUCUGAAGCAGCUCCAGGCUCCCAGCUGUCAGCCCAGAGCCCGAAGCAGGGCUCGAACCCACGAACUGUGAGAUCAUGACCUGAGUGGAAGUCGGACACUUAACCGACUGAGCCCCCCCUGCACCCCUAAAUUCUUUAAAUCAUCUGAAUACAGUAGGGGUAUCUCAUUUGUGGGGUUUUAAAAAAGCAGGGAUUUGAAAUAGUGGAUAAGAACAGCGUGUAGCUAGGCUGGACGAGGAUGGGGGUUCUGGCGUUUAUUCUGAGUCGGGAACAAUCCGGCAUUUAACAUGAUGCUUUGAAAUGUGGAUACCUUCUAAACAUGCACAGUAUUCGGGGGCUUUCUGUGCCAGUCACAAAUGUGUAGAGAUGUGG
ensembl:lncRNA